rnacentral:rRNA from 1 species
UACGUAGGGUGCAAGCGUUAAUCGGAAUUACUGGGCGUAAAGCGUGCGCAGGCGGUUAUGUAAGACAGGUGUGAAAUCCCCGGGCUUAACCUGGGAACUGCAUUUGUGACUGCAUAGCUAGAGUACGGUAGAGGGGGAUGGAAUUCCGCGUGUAGCAGUGAAAUGCGUAGAUAUGCGGAGGAACACCGAUGGCGAAGGCAGCCCCCUGGGAUAACACUGACGCUCAUGCACGAAAGCGUGGGGAGCAAACAGG